GGGGAAUAUUGUGCAAUGGGGGAAACCCUGACACAGCGACGCCGCGUGAGUGAAGAAGGCCUUCGGGUCGUAAAGCUCAAUAGUAUGGGAAGAAAGAAAUGACGGUACCAUACGAAAGCCCCGGCUAACUACGUGCCAGCAGCCGCGGUAAUACGUAGGGGGCGAGCGUUGUCCGGAAUUACUGGGCGUAAAGAGCACGUAGGCGGCUAUAAAAGUCAGAUGUGAAAAACCUGGGCUCAACCGAGGGUAUGCAUCUGAAACUAAAUAGCUUGAGUCAAGGAGAGGAGAGCGGAAUUCCUGGUGUAGCGGUGAAAUGCGUAGAGAUCAGGAAGAAUACCAGUGGCGAAAGCGGCUCUCUGGACUUGAACUGACGCUGAGGUGCGAAAGCGUGGGGAGCAAAC
rnacentral:rRNA from 1 species